GCUCAACCGGGGAGGGUCAUUGGAAACCGGGGAACUUGAGUGCAGAAGAGGAGAGUGGAAUUCCACGUGUAGCGGUGAAAUGCGUAGAGAUGUGGAGGAACACCGGUGGCGAAGGCGACUCUCUGGUCUGUAACUGACGCUGAGGCGCGAAAGCGUGGGGAGCGAACAGGAUUAGAUACCCUGGUAGUCCACGCCGUAAACGAUGAGUGCUAAGUGUUAGAGGGUUUCCGCCCUUUAGUGCUGCAGCAAACGCAUUAAGCACUCCGCCUGGGGAGUACGGUCGCAAGACUGAAACUCAAAGGAAUCGACGGGGGCCCGCACAAGCGGUGGAGCAUGUGGUUUAAUUCGAAGCAACGCGAAGAACCUUACCAGGUCUUGACAUCCUCUGGCAACCCUAGAGAUAGGGCUACCCCUUCGGGGGCAGAGUGACAGGUGGUGCAUGGUUGUCGUCAGCUCGUGUCGUGAGAUGUUGGGUUAAGUCCCGCAACGAGCGCAACCCUUGAUCUUAGUUGCCAGCAUUCAGUUGGGCACUCUAAGGUGACUGCCGGUGACAAACCGGAGGAAGGUGGGGAUGACGUCAAAUCAUCAUGCCCCUUAUGACCUGGGCUACACACGUGCUACAAUGGGCAGAACAAAG
rnacentral:rRNA from 1 species